UGUAAUGCCAUUCAAUCAUCUCUGAAUUUUACUUGCCUGAUUAGUUGAGUGAAGCAGAUUUUCAAUUUAAAUGUAACUUCAUCUGCUUGAUUAAAAAUGUAACAGAACAUUAUCUGCUGCAAAUAAAUUUCAGUGGAAGAGAUGAUUUUGCCUGUUUAAAAAUAACAUCUGUUUAUAUUGGCUGGAAGCAGACGAUUAAUACUUCUCUAAUUUCGAGGUUUACCAGUCCAGCUCACCUGUCUUUUUGCAUGGAUAGUUGAAAUUGAUGGCUGUCGAGUAUAAACAUUUACCUGUUGAUGUUUAGUUGAUGGAUUUCUUUUUUAAGGAUAAUAUAGAAUCCCAUCAUUGGGCAUUCAUUUAUUUGCUGCUCAUCAAGAUGAUUGACAGUUUUGCCAACAACGUGGAAAAAGGAUCUUCCUUCAUGAUGCAUACGAGAAAAAUUUUACCCCUCAGUGAUGAGUGCCCUACAGGGGGAAGAAAAAAACAGAUUCUUAUGAAUUCUUUUUUAUAGUUGAUAUUUAUUUGAAUUCUGAGUUUAGAGUCCAUGUGUAUAAAUUUAAGCCAAGUGUGUAGUAAAUGAAGUUGACCACAGGUGGCAUCUUUGCAGUCCUUUUUGCUUUAGCUGGGGUAUUUGGAGUGUGUUCCACAUAUGCAUAGCUUUCAUACAGUGAUGACCAGAGGCUGAAGAUGGUGGGGGACAGUACAAAUGCUUCAGCUCUGGGGCCUGUUGGACAGAAUUGAAACCCAAUUUUGGCAUCUCUUAGUGGGGCAUCCUC